rnacentral:rRNA from 1 species
AGUGAACGCUGGCGGUAGGCCUAACACAUGCAAGUCGAACGGCAGCACAGGAGAGCUUGCUCUCUGGGUGGCGAGUGGCGGACGGGUGAGGAAUACAUCGGAAUCUACUCUGUCGUGGGGGAUAACGUAGGGAAACUUACGCUAAUACCGCAUACGACCUACGGGUGAAAGCAGGGGAUCUUCGGACCUUGCGCGAUUGAAUGAGCCGAUGUCGGAUUAGCUAGUUGGCGGGGUAAAGGCCCACCAAGGCGACGAUCCGUAGCUGGUCUGAGAGGAUGAUCAGCCACACUGGAACUGAGACACGGUCCAGACUCCUACGGGAGGCAGCAGUGGGGAAUAUUGGACAAUGGGCGCAAGCCUGAUCCAGCCAUACCGCGUAGGUGAAGAAGGCCUUCGGGUUGUAAAGCCCUUUUGUUGGGAAAGAAAUCCAGCUGGUUAAUACCCGGUUGGGAUGACGGUACCCAAAGAAUAAGCACCGGCUAACUUCGUGCCAGCAGCCGCAGUAA